UUCUGUCCGAUACAGUAUAUUGUUCUCAGGU
rnacentral:piRNA from 1 species